rnacentral:rRNA from 1 species
CCUACGGGAGGCAGCAGUGAGGAAUAUUGGUCAAUGGACGAGAGUCUGAACCAGCCACGUAGCGUGAAGGAUGACUGCCCUAUGGGUUGUAAACUUCUUUUAUAUGGGAAUAAAUUGUUCCACGUGUGGGAUUUUGUAUGUACCAUAUGAAUAAGGAUCGGCUAACUCCGUGCCAGCAGCCGCGGUAAUACGGAGGAUCCGAGCGUUAUCCGGAUUGAUUGGGUUUAAAGGGAGCGUAGGUGGAUUGUUAAGUCAGUUGUGAAAGUUUGCGGCUCAACCGUAAAAUUGCAGUUGAAACUGGCAGUCUUGAGUACAGUAGAGGUGGGUGGAAUUCGUGGUGUAGCGGUGAAAUGCUUAGAUAUCACGAAGAACACCGAUGGCGAAGGCAGCUCACUGGACUGCAACUGACACUGAGGCUCGAAAGUGUGGGUAUCAAACAGGAUUAGAUACCCUUGUAGUC